rnacentral:rRNA from 1 species
GAUGAACGCUGGCGGCGUGCCUAAUACAUGCAAGUAGAACGCUGAAGGAGGAGCUUGCUCUUCUGGAUGAGUUGCGAACGGGUGAGUAACGCGUAGGUAACCUGCCUGGUAGCGGGGGAUAACUAUUGGAAACGAUAGCUAAUACAGCAUGACAACAGUUAUUGCAUGAUAACCGUUUAAAAGGGGCACCUGCUCCACUACCAGAUGGCCCUGCGUUGUAUUAGCUAGUUGGUGAGGUAACGGCUCACCAAGGCGACGAUACAUAGCCGACCUGAGAGGGUGAACCGCCACACUGGGACUGAGACACGGCCCAGACUCCUACGGGAGGCAGCAGUAGGGGAUCAUCGGCAAAGGGCGGAAGGCUGAACGAGGAACGCCGGGGGGGGGAAGAAAGGUCUCGGAUCGGAAAGCUCUGUUGGAAGGGAAGGAAGAGCGGGAGAGUGGAAAGUUCACGUUGUGACGGUAUCUAACCAGAAAGCGACGGCUAACUACGUG